rnacentral:rRNA from 1 species
UACGGGGGGGGCAAGCGUUGUUCGGAAUUACUGGGCGUAAAGGGCUCGUAGGCGGCCAACUAAGUCCGACGUGAAAUCCCCAGGCUUAACUUGGGAACUGCGUCGGAUACUGGAUGGCUUGAAUUCGGGAGAGGGAUGCAGAAUUCCAGGUGUAGCGGUGAAAUGCGUAGAUAUCUGGAGGAAUACCGGUGGCGAAGGCGGCAUCCUGGACCGACAUUGACGCUGAGGAGCGAAAGCGUGGGGAGCAAACAGG